GACAGGCUUAACACAUGCAAGUCGAGGGGCAGCACAGGUAGCAAUACCGGGUGGCGACCGGCGCACGGGUGAGUAACGCGUAUGCAACUUACCUAUCAGAGGGGGAUAACCCGGCGAAAGUCGGACUAAUACCGCAUGAAGCAGGGGCCCCGCAUGGGGAUAUUUGCUAAAGAUUCAUCGCUGAUAGAUAGGCAUGCGUUCCAUUAGGCAGUUGGCGGGGUAACGGCCCACCAAACCGACGAUGGAUAGGGGUUCUGAGAGGAAGGUCCCCCACAUUGGUACUGAGACACGGACCAAACUCCUACGGGAGGCAGCAGUGAGGAAUAUUGGUCAAUGGCCGAGAGGCUGAACCAGCCAAGUCGCGUGAGGGAUGAAGGUUCUAUGGAUCGUAAACCUCUUUUAUAAGGGAAUAAAGUGCGGGACGUGUCCCGUUUUGUAUGUACCUUAUGAAUAAGGAUCGGCUAACUCCGUGCCAGCAGCCGCGGUAAUACGGAGGAUCCGAGCGUUAUCCGGAUUUAUUGGGUUUAAAGGGUGCGUAGGCGGCCUUUUAAGUCAGCGGUGAAAGUCUGUGGCUCAACCAUAGAAUUGCCGUUGAAACUGGGGGGCUUGAGUAUGUUUGAGGCAGGCGGAAUGCGUGGUGUAGCGGUGAAAUGCAUAGAUAUCACGCAGAACCCCGAUUGCGAAGGCAGCCUGCCAAGCCAUUACUGACGCUGAUGCACGAAAGCGUGGGGAUCAAACAGGAUUAGAUACCCUGGUAGUCCACGCAGUAAACGAUGAUCACUAGCUGUUUGCGAUACACUGUAAGCGGCACAGCGAAAGCGUUAAGUGAUCCACCUGGGGAGUACGCCGGCAACGGUGAAACUCAAAGGAAUUGACGGGGGCCCGCACAAGCGGAGGAACAUGUGGUUUAAUUCGAUGAUACGCGAGGAACCUUACCCGGGUUUGAACGCAUUCGGACCGAGGUGGAAACACCUUUUCUAGCAAUAGCCGUUUGCGAGGUGCUGCAUGGUUGUCGUCAGCUCGUGCCGUGAGGUGUCGGCUUAAGUGCCAUAACGAGCGCAACCCUUGCCACUAGUUACUAACAGGUAAAGCUGAGGACUCUGGUGGGACUGCCAGCGUAAGCUGCGAGGAAGGCGGGGAUGACGUCAAAUCAGCACGGCCCUUACAUCCGGGGCGACACACGUGUUACAAUGGCGUGGACAAAGGGAAGCCACCUGGCGACAGGGAGCGAAUCCCCAAACCACGUCUCAGUUCGGAUCGGAGUCUGCAACCCGACUCCGUGAAGCUGGAUUCGCUAGUAAUCGCGCAUCAGCCAUGGCGCGGUGAAUACGUUCCCAGGCCUUGUACACACCGCCCGUCAAGCCAUGGGAGCCGGGGGUACCUGAAGUCCGUAACCGCGAGGAUCGGCCUAGGGUAAAACUGGUGACUGGGGCUAAA
rnacentral:rRNA from 1 species